rnacentral:misc_RNA from 1 species
UCGUAGCCCGGAUAGCAGCGGCAUCCUUCCUGUGGCUCCUUUAGCCACAGGAAGAUACAGCGUCCCGAAGCGUCG